GGAAAGAUAAAAGAAGAAAAAGAAGAAAAGAUGAAGGAGGGAAAAGAAGAAGAAACAUAAGAUUCACUCCUUGACAAACAACAAUAAAACAACUUUUUCUCUUUCUUUCUCUCUCUCUUUUUCUCUCU
rnacentral:ribozyme from 13 species